rnacentral:pre_miRNA from 1 species
AUGUUAAUUACCUUGAGAUCUUGUUAAAGUGCAUAUUCUGAUUAAGUAGGUGUGGAAUGUGGCCUUAGAUUCUGCAUUUCUUAUAAGUUCUCAAGUGAUUCCAGU